GUGGAUGUCGCCUAACCGACAAGGCCCCGGGACGUGAACCCGGAAGAUGCGAGUUUGAAUCUCGUCAUUCACCCCA
rnacentral:tRNA from 1 species